rnacentral:rRNA from 1 species
AGAGUUUGAUCCUGGCUCAGAACGAACGCUGGCGGCAGGCCUAACACAUGCAAGUCGAACGCAUCCUUCGGGGUGAGUGGCAGACGGGUGAGUAACACGUGGGAACGUGCCUUUCGGUUCGGGAUAACCCAGGGAAACUUGGGCUAAUACCGGAUACGCCCUUUGGGGGAAAGAUUGAUUGCCGAAAGAUCGGCCCGCGUCUGAUUAGCUAGUUGGUGAGGUAACGGCUCACCAAGGCGACGAUCAGUAGCUGGUCUGAGAGGAUGAUCAGCCACACUGGGACUGAGACACGGCCCAGACUCCUACGGGAGGCAGCAGUGGGGAAUAUUGGACAAUGGGCGCAAGCCUGAUCCAGCCAUGCCGCGUGAGUGAUGAAGGCCCUAGGGUUGUAAAGCUCUUUCGGCGGGGACGAUAAUGACGGUACCCGCAGAAGAAGCCCCGGCUAACUUCGUGCCAGCAGCCGCGGUAAUACGAAGGGGGCUAGCGUUGUUCGGAAUCACUGGGCGUAAAGGGCGCGUAGGCGGCCAUUCAAGUCGGGGGUGAAAGCCUGUGGCUCAACCACAGAAUUGCCUUCGAUACUGUUUGGCUUGAGACCGGAAGAGGUCAGUGGAACUGCGAGUGUAGAGGUGAAAUUCGUAGAUAUUCGCAAGAACACCAGUGGCGAAGGCGGCUGACUGGUCCGGUUCUGACGCUGAGGCGCGAAAGCGUGGGGAGCAAACAGGAUUAGAUACCCUAGUAGUCC